rnacentral:rRNA from 1 species
GAUGAACGCUAGCGGCAGGCUUAACACAUGCAAGUCGGAGGGGUAACAGGGGAGCUUGCUUCUGCUGACGACCGGCGCACGGGUGAGUAACGCGUAUGCAACCUACCUUUUACAGGGGGAUAGCCAGAAGAAAUUCUGAUUAAUACCCCGUAAUAUUAUAGACCGGCAUUGGUUUAUGAUUAAAGUUUCGGCGGUAAAAGAUGGGCAUGCGUUUUAUUAGUUAGUUGGUAAGGUAACGGCUUACCAAGACUACGAUAAAUAGGGGUCCUGAGAGGGAGAUCCCCCACACUGGUACUGAGACACGGACCAG